GCACAAGAAGGACAUAGCUCAUUCAUCAUAGAGAGAUGAUCUAUGGAGGGUGCCACAAACACGACGCACAACCGCUAAGAAAGGAAAGCUUCCACAAGAUGAUACUGUACCAUCACUCUUCAAGCAAGGUAACAUCUUAAGGUACUUGACUAUCACUUUUAUAAGCUUCUCCUUGGUUCUAGCGUUCAUAUAAAUAAAAGAGACAAACAUGUAUGAUUUACAACCCUAGAUUAACCAACCCAACUGAUUCAACAUGUUUAGUCCUUUAAUCCUUGUUCUUAGUACUACCUCCAUGAUCCCACACUCCUAAUCAUAUGAGCUAAAAUGUUACACAUUCAAUCAUUAAGAGAUAUAAAGAAAAAGACAUAUACAUAGAUAGAUUAUCUUUCCAUAAGGUUGAGCGAUCUGAUCUGACAAAUGUUAUAAGUGCUACACUCAUGAACUUAUCAUCCAUCAACUUGUCUUGCUCACUAUGCUUAAGGUUAGAGAAGAACAAAUACACUUUUGGUUCUGUUGGUGUUUUCCACCAACAGGGCCCAUGCACUUGAUCUCUGCCUUGUCUCUAUGAGCAGGUACACUUCGAGCAAAACACGGAGGAGUUUUAUAACUCUCAGACUCUAUCAAGUGAAGGACCUAGAUCUAUGAGCACAAACACACUGAGCAGGACAAUGCCAACGCCUCACUUCGAACUGCUGGGCAAACGAAGAGGUGCAUACGUCAAGGUCCGCACCUGAAUCAAAUGACGCACCUGAAGAAUGAACACGGUGAGAAGUCUUGUCAAGAAGACUUAAAACAUUGAACCCUCGCCGAAAGGUAAGAUUGGUAGUUAUCCAUAUUUAUCCUUUCUGCAUUCCCUUUUCCCUUUAAUUAUUUACUUUCCUUAAAUAGAUUUUUAGUUUAUCAUGCUAUCUUGAAAAGAAAAUAAAAAUGUUAAAAAAUACUAAGCCCCAUGUGAGUAUACGAGUGGCAUAAAACCCAUAAGUACCUUCACUGUGGUGGCAUAAAAAUAAAAUAAAUAUUUCUUUUCUACUUUAUAAAAUAAAAAUAUAAAAACAGGGAGUAAUAUUUAUUGAGGAAGCUCAACGUGAUGAAGGCUAGAUAUUUAUGCUAACACUUAAUUAGUUCCACAAGCUGUGUUGUCUAUUUGAGCUCCACAGAAUUUAAGAAUCAAGAAAACUAGCAGACGGAGGACAUUCUAAUCGCUGUCAGAAUGCUGCUGACUUUCAAAUACACCUCUGCCACCUGCUAGCUACAUCAAGAGAAAUUACGUCAAAAUUCAGCUUGGGGGAGAGCACCCCCAUUUAUCUCGCUAAGUAUUUCUACCUAUCUUUAUACUUAUAUUAUAUUAGAAUAUUAAAAUACAUAAACUAUGAAAAACCAAAUAAAGAUUUUGUGCUUAUAUAUAUAUAUAUCUUUUGCUUAGUGUGUUUAAUAAAUAAAUAAAGUGGCUAUGCUAAUCUGAAUCUUAAUAAUAAAACUCUAGCAUGGAUAUGAUGAAUAGUUGCUCUGCCUAAUUUGCAAAUUUGAAGUUCUCUCUCAAGUUUAGACAUAACUAUUAUAAUUUAAAGCUUGCUCUAGAUCCAAACUUGUGGGAUGAAAACUUGAUCUGAAAUCUAAGUUGUUAACGGAUAUGAUAUGGGAAGGUUGAGCUGCUGUUUAUCUAUUCCUAGAGAUGCUAGAAUUCUGGAGAAUUUUAUCUUUGAAAAAUCUUUAAAAUGUUGCAUGAUGAGUUCCUGUAUGAUGAAAGUUUAAAUUCCUACCACAGCCAUAUAUACAUGCUUGCUAGACUUUGAGCCACACAUUUAUUAUUUACUGCUUAUGAGCAUUGAGUGUGGUCAAGCUGUGUAGACCCUUAGGAGCUUGUCAUGUGGUUAAAUCAAGAUUCACUUGCACGUUCACUCAUAUAUAUGCUACUUCUACUCCGGAAGUACCAUCCACAUAUAUCCAUCCAUUUCCAUCUCCAGAAUCACCUAAAAAUAUUCUACUCCUAAUCCGGGAGAGAAUAGCCAAAAACAUUUUCCUAUCCCUGUUAUUCCUUGUGAAAUAAAUGCUCAAGUUAUCUUGCUACUACCACUUGCUAUAUUAUCUUAAGUGAUGAGUGCUCUGAAAAAAAAGAGAGAAAAAGAAAAAAAAUAAACGAGGAAAUAAAAAGGGGCAAGUGCCCGGAACCUCGAAAGAAAAGAAAAAGAGUGAGACGAGAGGUAAAAAUGGACAAGUGUCCGACAGUAGAAUUAGGGGUACAGGAUACCCAUCUGAGAGAAAAGAAAAAGAAGAGCAUCUCAUUCUCCUCAUAAAGUUUCAAAAAGCAAGGAAGGUAUGUAUCCCCUCAAAAGAGCAAAAGUAGAAUUAGACUUUCACCAUUGUUAUCACCAUCAUCACCAUACACUAUUCAUUCGCCACACAUGCACAUCUUGAUUUGGCUUAUUGAUUUGUUUCUUUGGAUCCAUGGUUUGACUAUACAAUAAAUGUCUUGUAAGUAUGUAUAUUUUAUCUCCCACCUAUGAGCUCCAGAUAUUAAAGCCUUAUUAGAGUAGGGUGAGAGAGAAGACAAUGUCACUAUCCCUUAUACCACAAAUACCACAUAUUUUGAGAGAAGACAUAUACCAUCACUGCCUUGGUAAGGAUCCAGAAAUACCACAAAAGAGAGAUAUGAGAGAGUCAUACAAAGGAAUCUCUGAGUUUUAUUUGAAAAUCUGCAAAAACUCCAGAGCUAUAGCUGAUCAAGAAUAAGCGACAUGGCACUUGACUGGACUGUUCUAUCUUUUAACCACUCAAGACAGAAGUGACGGUUACAAGUCCCAUGGUGAAAGGUAAAGUAAGUAAGUUUUAAGUCUUGACAGUUUAUUCUAACUCAGAGAUGAGACCUCAUUUAAAAGCAUAUUGUUGGGUAUUUUAAACGCAAACAGAAAAAUCCGCAAGCGCACGGAUACCGAUGUAGCCUUCACCCGGGAGUAUUCCAGAGUAUCGAUUUUCCACAGGGAACGUGAGUGUACUAAUUAUGAUCCAAGAUCGCCCAAGGAUAACUAUAUGAUUAUUUUUGGUGGGAAGAGAGGAAGUUUCCUCAGAGUUCUCUAGUUGAUCUAAGAAUCAAGAAUUACUUCAAGAUUAUCUAUAUCGGGACAUCAGAGCACUAACCACAGAAAGAGAUGAGAAGGGGGCUAGGAAGGUCUGACUACGGUCCUACAAACACCGAUCCAAACGUGGUGGAAUACAUCGACCGUUAGGGCUGUCACUACCCUAAGGCUACCACAACAAUCUGCAGGAUUGGGUGCAAUUCCAGGUAAUCGCAAGACUAAACACCACGUCUAAUCUAUUAAUUACUACUCUAGCAUUAUAAAGACUAGAGCACUUGAUGCAAGCGGGAAUCCAAUAAAUAACUUGAAUGUAAAUAAAAGUAAUUAGAGAACUCAGGAAUUAUGAAUUGAAGAACCUGGAGAACGAUGAAGAACGAACCAGUUGCUGCAAAAGUAUAAUGUUGAGGAAGAUCCGACAGAUUCGGCUCCUCCUCCGCUCUCCUCUUCUCUCUCCCUAUUUUCUAGAUUACAACUAGAACUAACUAGAACUAGAACUAGAGGAACUAGAACUAGAACUAGAUGAACUAGAACUAGAUCUAGAUGAACUAGAGGUAGAACUAGAAGAACUAGAGGGAUCCUCUCUACUUGGAUGAAGAAUUGAAACCCUAGCUUUGAUUCUGUAGAAGAGGUAUGAUCUCCAGGGGCC
rnacentral:lncRNA from 1 species